rnacentral:lncRNA from 10 species
UGACGAAAUAUCUAUGGAAAGGGGCCUCUAAAGAAGUAGUGCAGAGAAUAAAAACUGCUGGGAAAGAUAUGCAAUCACUCAAAAAAAAUGGGUGUGUUCCUCUGGAAUGCAAAGUGACUCACAAAUGGAAUGCCUGAUUUACCCUCUGAAAGGGGUCCGCACCUGCCUAACCAUGACCACUAGUCUGGAGAAGCACUGGCUUCAGCAGCAGAAGGCAGAAUCAUUGAUAGCAAGAAUCUUUUGAGCUCCUCAGAGCCAUGCAGCUCCUCACCCUUACCCUCUGCCACUGCCAUCAGCAAUGGGGAUUUCUCAGUCAUCUAUGAGAGAUUAUAGCUGUUUGGAUCAACACAGCCCCCUCCUCUUCAUCAUGAAAACUACCACUGCAUUAUGUAGUCUGGGACACUCAAGCUCCUAUCCUUGCUCGUAGAAGAUCCAACUAUUUGCCCCACAAGCAAACAGUCUCAGCUCAAAUACAGUAUCUUUAAGGAUGCCGGAGAUACAGGAGUGCUGGGAAGGCAAGACCAUGGUCCCUUUAAAUGAUACGGGAGUGCUGGGUAGAGGAAGGGUGUGGUCCCUGGCUAGGGCUCCACCCCCACCGACCUAGAUGAGGACCUGGCACUCCUGCCUGCACGCCCAAAUGUUGUAUUUCCCAAGACCAUCCUGGCCCACCACGGCCCCAUCCUGUGACUAUAAAAACCUGAGACUCUAGCAAGGCAAAGACCGAAACGACUGGACGUGUAGAGGAGCGGAUCAGCAGAAGAAGAUAGAGGCAGGGGGAUGUCAAAUGCAGCAUAUCAGCGUAGGAACACACAGGCCGUUGAAGCGAGAGAGGAGCACAUCAAUGAAAGAAGGCACAAGCAUCUGGAUGGCGAGAGGAUGUUGAGGGGAGCAUGGCAGCUGAAGAGCACACCGACAGGACACACGCCGGCACUGUCCCGGUGGGAGUGGGAUGAGGCGGAGUUUGGUGGGGGCAGUGGGAGGAGAGCCCUGGCCGUGGAGUGCCCCAACUCCAGGGGAAAACCAUCUCCCUUCUGGCUCCCCCAUCUGCUGAGAGCUACUUCCACUCAAUAAAAGCUUGCACUCAUUCUCCAAGCCCACAUGUGAUCCUAUUCUUUCGGUACACAAAGGCGAGAAACCCCGGGAUACAGAAAGCCCUCUGUCCUUGAGAUGAGGUAGAGGGUCUAAUUGAGCUGGUUAACACAAGCCUAUAGAUGGCACACUAAGAGAGCAUCCUGUAACACACGCCCACUGGGGCUUCAGCUGUAAACAUUCACCCCUAGACACUGUUGUAGGGUGGGAGCCCCACAGCCUGCCGUCUGUAUGCUCCUCUAGAGGUCUGAGCAGUGGGGCACUGGAGAGCCACACCCACAUCGCAUGCCCUGCCGGGGGACUACUGAACCUUUCCCGUUUCACUAGCAUAUACAAUAUAACCCUCUGGCCUAUCGCUUUAACACAUUUCCUCAGAGCGUUCAACAUCAUCUGUUAAAUACUUGUAUUAUAAUAUUUUAUCUCUUUAUUUCUUUUGCUUUAUAAAAUAAAUUGCUUAUCUUUUCGGUAAUCCCCUGUAUCCCUGAUGCUUCGAUCAAUGCCUAACAUAUAUUGAAUUAAUAUUAAUUGAUGAAAUAAAUGGAUAAACACACUCCUUCCUGAGUAUGAAUAUAUCUUAACUGUAUCACAUAACUUUUUUCACAUUCUUCCUUGCCUCAACGGUUUGCAUAUAUUUCACGUAGGUCACUUAUCACUAUCGGGAUUUAUGUAAUUUAAAAAUCUCCUCCAUUAAAUUGCAAAUUUCUUGGCAACUGGAUUUUCUUAUAUUCAUUUGUUAAAAUUUGCAUGCCUUUAAGACAUACAUAUACUAACUGCUCAAAUAAUAUUAUUUAAAUGAAUGGAUGUAAAUUAUACUAAGGGCAAGUUUAAGAAUUAUUAUUUCCUUUUUACCCAGAAGCUUAAAAACAUUUCAUUUUCUAAAAUUCUAUGAGAAGGCAUAUAUAUGAUUAUAGCACUGGCC